GAUGAGGACAUCCCAGGUUCACCUCGUUUAUCAUCUUCUCCUGAUGAUAAAUCGCAGCCAUCAAGUGAAGCUUCUACAAAGAAGAUCUAUUUGGGUCCCAUGACAAGGAGCCGUGCCAAACAAAUAGCACAAGAGGUGAACGCGCUCCUAGCUUAUCAUAAUUCAAAUGACCAUGAGAGCUUUAUACUGCCUAAAUCUCGUGUGCUGAUUUUACUUAGGUACAAUGUUAAGGACAACCAACAACAUUCAGCACAUAAAUUGUUGCAUGUGCAGUUCCAGAAUUCGUCCCAGAACUUGCUGAAUCAUGCAACGCAAAUAUAUGAGCAUCCAGCAUGUGUGGGAGUACAAAAUGGAGAGCAUAUGAAGUCUACUUUCAGGAAAAUCAAACGGUGCAUCAUUUGGAGUCCUAAGUCAAAGAAUAUGAGAGUUCCAGUGCAAGCUGUCCAGGGCAUUAAUUGA
rnacentral:rRNA from 1 species